rnacentral:rRNA from 1 species
AACGAACGCUGGCGGCAGGCUUAACACAUGCAAGUCGAACGGGCACCUUCGGGUGUCAGUGGCAGACGGGUGAGUAACGCGUGGGAACGUACCCUUCGGUUCGGAAUAACCCAGGGAAACUUGGGCUAACACCGGAUACGUCCGCAAGGAGAAAGAUUUAUCGCCGAAGGAUCGGCCCGCGUCGGAUUAGCUAGUUGGUGGGGUAAUGGCCCACCAAGGCGACGAUCCGUAGCUGGUCUGAGAGGAUGANCAGCCACACUGGGACUGAGACACGGCCCAGACUCCUAUGGGAGGCAGCAGUGGGGAAUAUUGGACAAUGGGCGAAAGCCUGAUCCAGCCAUGCCGCGUGAGUGAAGAAGGCCUUAGGGUUGUAAAGCUCUUUCAGCGGGAAGAUAAUGACGGUACCCGCAGAAGAAGUCCCGGCUAACUUCGUGCCAGCAGCCGCGGUAAU